CCAGCAGCUGCGGUAAUUCCAGCUCUUCUAGUGUACAUCGAAGUUGAUGCAGUUAAAAAGCUCGUAGUUGGAUCUCGGUUUCGGAUGAGCGGUGCACUUUGCGGUGUUUACUGUUUGUCCGGACGAUUUUGUUGGUUCGUUUAUAGUUCUCUUAACCGAGUGCUAUGAGUGGCCAGCACGUUUACUUUGAAAAAAUUGGAGUGCUCAAAGCAGGCGCUACAGCCUGAACAUUAGUGCAUGGAAUAAUGGAAUAGGAUUUCGAUUCUAUUUCGUUGGCUUUCGGAGUCGAGAUAAUGAUUAAUAGGGACAGACGGGGGCAUUCGUACUGCGACGUUAGAGGUGAAAUUCUU
rnacentral:rRNA from 1 species